CCUCCUCGAUCUGCUGCGGGCAGAUGAAGUGAAUGUGCGAAUCAAUGCCGCCGGCCGUCAGGAUCUUGCCCUCGGCGGCGAUCACUUCCGUGCCGGGGCCGAUGAUGAUGUCGACGCCGCUCUGCACAUCCGGAUUGCCGGACUUGCCGAUCGCGACGAUCCGGCCGUCCUUCAGCGCGACAUCGGCCUUGAUGAUCCCCCAAUGGUCGAGAAUCACCGCAUUGGUGAUGACGGUGUCGACGGCGCCGCCGGCCCGCGUCACCUGGCUCUGGCCCAUGCCGUCGCGGAUG
rnacentral:sRNA from 1 species